AGAUAAAAAAUGAAAUCAAUAAUUAAAGCUACCAUAAUGAACAGCCCAAGGAAUAAAUAGAAUAAGAAAAUGUGAGAAAAGAAAAGAAGCAAAAGAACAAGGACAGAAUUUAUAUUGGGAUGCAAAUCAAAAGACGAAAACGCGUAAAAGGCUCUUUCUAGUUCAGAUCUCAACUAGGCCACAAUUUUCAGUCAGUGCCACUGCAUCCGAUACUGUUUCCCUCAUCAUCUUGAGAGCAAUUUUGCUUGUUCCUGUCUCGAACCUAUCACCAAAAGUUUAAGAAAAUGGAUCAACAAGUUGAGAGGCAGAAGCGUGGCAAGGAGAUGAAGAGGAAGUGUAGUAAAGUGAACAAGCGCAACAAGUUAAUGACAUGUUGUCGCUGUCCCUGUCGUGCAGCAUCGUGCAUGUUCCGAGGUAUUGGGAGGUGCAUGUUUGUCACAUGUUACCCUGUUGUGCAGUGCUUGGGCUUGGAUGAACAUAGGCAUCGCCACCAUCAUCACCAUGGCAAGCACUUUGAUUGGUGACACCAACCUAAACGGGAUUUAGAAGGAUGAAUAAAUGGUUCUCAGUUUUCACUUUGGUUCUUUUAUAUUUCCUCUGAUGAUAUAGUAAUAAUACUAGUAGAUAGCUUUACAUCAUUCUUUACAUUAUGGAUAAAAAAAUUGGAAUUUUGGAAGAAUUGUUCUAAGGUGUUAUUGUUCUCCAAUUUCCAAUUCCAGCCAUUUCUUUUGGUUAUAGAACAUUGUAAACAAAGUAUUCAUGGAUGUUGGAUGUAAACGCAAUGAUUCUGCAUUUUGGCAACGGGAAAAGUCUGUGUUAACCACCA